AAAAUGGUGGUCUGUGUUAGCUUACCACACCCACUUUAAAGUUGCUGCUAGUUUACCUCUAAUUAACAGGUGGCCUACCCAUGGGCCUACUGCUAGCUCAUGAGCUCACCUGUGCUGACUCUUCAGAAGGACUUUGUGGAGUACUGUUUUUGGCUUUUGGAACUAUUCAGACUGUUUUUAUGUUUCACCUGCUGGCCUUAAAAACAAACUUUAAGCUGGAGUUUCCUGUCCUGCUGACUCAAACCUGGUGGGACUAAAACAAGUCUUCUAAAAGAUGUCACCACAGCCCAAAGGCAGUUAAAAGUUACUCCACUGCAACAACCAAGGACAGGCGUGUGCAUCCAUCGGGAAAUCCUCCAGGUGCAUGGGGCACUCAGCGUGAAUGGUCAACCUGAGGGGGCAGAGAGAGAAAACAGCCCACCAGUCAGACUGCAGGAUGGCUGAGGCGGCCAACACAAACACAUCAUGGCACAUGUCAGCAGAAAAGCAACACAUGGCAUUUUUAGACUGAACUUACACUCAGACAUGAUACCCAUGUUUUUUAUAUGCUGAGGCCUAUUAAAAAUAUAUGUAUUACAAUUUAAUAACUACAGACGUAACGGCACAGUGUGAAAACAACUCUGGCACUCUGCUCCGCUCAGCCAGCAGUGGUAACAACAAGAGUUCAGCUGACAAAUAAAAACUCUCCCUAGAGUUCCAGAGUUUAUUUCAUUUGGGCAGACGAUCGAGCCAUAAAAUGCACUCCGUAAGUAAACAGAGAAAUUAUCCUUAUUGUCUCCCUCAUACAUGUUUAAUCAUCCAUUUGAUUAAAAUGCUGAGUUCAAACAAAACAGAAACCCAUAAAACCAUCUUACAGUGGACCUAGUUCUCAUAAACAGAAAACAAACUGGGUUAUUGUAACUUAAUUACAACAUUUUAUAGUCAAUGUAUCAAGUCAAAACUGUGUACUGUGAGACUUUGGUGUAUAAAGAGCAUAUAUGAGAGUAAA